AUCGGUAAUUAAUGAUUGAUUAAUGGGUAUGAUGGGAACAGCCCCGUGUGCACGGCCCCAGCAACAGCGAGAGCUUCCUGAGCGCCCAGCGGAACUUUGUGCGGAGCUGUGUGGGCUACAGCCUGGUGUGCUACCUGCUGCAGGUCAAAGAUAGGCACAACGGGAACAUCCUGCUGGACACCGAGGGC